rnacentral:rRNA from 1 species
UACGUAGGGUGCAAGGCGUUAAUCGGAAUUACUGGGCGUAAAGCGUGCGCAGGCGGUGAUGUAAGACAGGUGUGAAAUCCCCGGCUUAACCUGGGAACUGCAUUUGUGACUGCAUCGCUGGAGUGCGGCAGAGGGGAUGGAAUUCCGCGUGUAGCAGUGAAAUGCGCAGAUAUCAGGAGGAACACCGGUGGCGAAGGCGGGUCUCUGGGACGGUACUGACGCUGAGAACGCGAAAGCGUGGGGAGCAACAGG